AGCAAAGCUUGCUCGCGAUGAACGAUAACGCGGUCAUUCGAAAGACCGCGGUGCCUUCAUCGCGAGCAAGCUCAGCU
rnacentral:antisense_RNA from 1 species